rnacentral:tRNA from 1 species
GCGGGUGUAGCUCAGCUGGUAGAGCGUCAGCUUCCCAAGCUGAAUGUCGCGGGUUCGAAUCCCGUCGCCCGCU